GCGCGGGUGCUGAAAUUGGUAGACAGACUACCUUGAGGUGGUAGCGCUCGUAAGAGCAUGGAGGUUCGAGUCCUCUCCCGCGCACCA
rnacentral:tRNA from 1 species